rnacentral:tRNA from 1 species
GGGGUUGUAGCUCAGUGGUACAGAGCUUGCCUAGCAAUGCAUGAGGCAUUGAGUUCAAUUCUCACCAUCACA